GCUACGGGAGGCUGCAGUGGGGGAUAUUGCACAAUGGAGGGAACUCUGAUGCAGCGACGCCGCGUGAGGGAAGAAGGUUUUCGGAUUGUAAACCUCUGUCUUCGGUGACGAAACGAGACGGUAGCCGAGGAGGAAGCCACGGCUAACUUCCUGCCAGCACCCGCGGUAAUACGGAGGUGGCACGCGUUGUCCGGAAUUACUGGGUGUAAAGGGUGCGUAGGCGGGAUAGCUAGUUUAAUGUUUAAGGUACGGGCUCAACCGUUACCAGCGUUACAAACUGUUUUUCUUGAGUGGAGUAUAGGUAAGCGGAAUGCCUAGUGUAGCGGGGAAAUGCGGAAAGAUUAGGAGGAACACCAGUGGCGAAGGCGGCUUACUGGGGUUUAACUGACGCUGAGGCUCGAAAGCGUGGGUAGCAAACAGGAUUAGAUACCCCGGUAGUC
rnacentral:rRNA from 1 species